CACACGACCGUACCGCAAACCGACACUGGUGCGCGAGAUGAGUAUUCUAAGGCGCUUGAGAGAACUCAGGAGAAGGAACUCGGCAAAUUGACACCGUAACUUCGGAAGAAGGUGUGCCUUUAGUAGGUGAACCUGUACAAGGGGAGCCCAAUGAGGUUGCAAAAAAUCGGUGGCUGCGACUGUUUAAUAAAAACACAGCACUCUGCAAACACGAAAGUGGACGUAUAGGGUGUGACGCCUGCCCGGUGCUGGAAGAUUAAAUGAUGGGGUGCAAGCUCUUGAUUGAAGUCCCAGUAAACGGCGGCCGUAACGAUAACGGUCCUAAGGUAGCGAAAUUCCUUGUCGGGUAAGUUCCGACCUGCACGAAUGGCGUAACGAUGGCCACACUGUCUCCUCCUGAGACUCAGCGAAGUUGAAAUGUUUGUGAUGAUGCAAUCUCCCCGCGGAAAGACGGAAAGACCCCAUGUACCUUUACUGUAGCUUUGUAUUGGACUUUGAACAGAUCUGUGUAGGAUAGGUGGGAGGCUUUGAAGUGUGGUCGCUAGAUCGCAUGGAGCCAACGUUGAAAUACCACCCUGGUGUGUUUGAGGUUCUAACCUAGGCCCGUAAUCCGGGUCGGGGACAGUGCAUGGUAGGCAGUUUGACUGGGGCGGUCUCCUCCCAAAGCGUAACGGAGGAGUUCGAAGGUACGCUAGGUACGGUCGGACAUCGUGCUAAUAGUGCAAUGGCAUAAGCGUGCUUAACUGCGAGACUGACAAGUCGAGCAGAUGCGAAAGCAGGACAUAGUGAUCCGGUGGUUCUGUAUGGAAGGGCCAUCGCUCAACGGAUAAAAGGUACUCUGGGGAUAACAGGCUGAUACCGCCCAAGAGUUCAUAUCGACGGCGGUGUUUGGCACCUCGAUGUCGGCUCAUCUCAUCCUGGGGCUGUAGCCGGUCCCAAGGGUAUGGCUGUUCGCCAUUUAAAGAGGUACGUGAGCUGGGUUUAAAACGUCGUGAGACAGUUUGGUCCCUAUCUUCCGUGGGCGCUGCAGAUUUGAGGAAGCCUGCUCCUAGUACGAGAGGACCGGAGUGGACACACCUCUGGUGUAUCGGUUGUCACGCCAGUGGCAUUGCCGAGUAGCUAUGUGUGGAAGAGAUAACCGCUGAAAGCAUCUAAGCGGGAAACUCGUUUCAAGAUGAGAUCUGCCGGGGCCCUGAGCCCCCUAA
rnacentral:rRNA from 1 species